rnacentral:rRNA from 1 species
AGAAACCAACAGGGAUUGCCUCAGUAACGGCGAGUGAAGCGGCAAAAGCUCAAAUUUGAAAUCCCCCCGGGGAGUUGUAAUUUGAAGAUUGCGUCUUGGAGGCGACCGUGUCUAUGUUCCUUGGAACAGGACGUCACAGAGGGUGAGAAUCCCGUGCGGCACGGCCCCCGGCUCCUUAUAAGGCGCUCUCGACGAGUCGAGUUGUUUGGGAAUGCAGCUCAAAGUGGGUGGUAAAUUCCAUCUAAAGCUAAAUACAGGCGAGAGACCGAUAGCGAACAAGUACAGUGAUGGAAAGAUGAAAAGCACUUUGAAAAGAGAGUGAAACAGCACGUGAAAUUGUUGAAAGGGAAGGGCAUGCCGUCAGAUUGUCAGUGUGGGUAAGAAGCGGGGUACAAAGACUGUGGAACGUGGCCCUCGGGUGUUAUAGCCGCAGUUCAUGCCCCGUCUCUUUCCGAGGCCUGCUUUGAGGACACCGACGUAAUGACGGUACGCCGCCCGUCUUGA